AAAGCUUUCAAAUCAAACACUCCCUCCUUAGAGGAGGAAGAAGAUUCAAAAUUGCGCUCUUCAAGAGCUCCUGUGAACCAGGACUUCUGGCAGCCCUGAGGUUCUGGCCCUGCUGGAAACCCUACCACAGAGCAGGGAUGGCAAGAAUUAAGAGGACAUCAAAACCUCAAACAAGCUACACUCCUGUGGAUUUGGGAAGAAACAAGACACUUUGACAUUCCUUCUAUGGUUUCCUUGGCAACAUCCAUAACAACUCCGUAAUACAAUGGGUCUCUGUUUUCUUAACCCUUCAGUGUGUCAACUGAAUGAAAACUUCCUUGAGGAAAUAUUUCAGCCUACUGGGUAGAGUGGCAUAAAUUAAAACCAGUGAUGCACAACCUUCGGACUCCUUCCCAUAGCUCAGGGUGGGGCCCUGGGGAGGGACUCUGACAGAGGGAGCAAUACACAAAUUCCACCUCACUGCAGGCAGUUUCUUCAUAAAAGACUGGCACUGAUACUGUUUAGAGGUGAUUUAUAUGGAAAAAUAACAGAUACUCCAAGCAAGCACAACAUUAAAUUAUCCUAGGAAGUCUCCAUCAAAUAUAUUUAGUAAGGGGGAAAAAAAAUCCCAAACCCAUGAAUUGUAUAUCCCUACUGCCAAAAAUAACAGAAGCCCAAGAAACAGCCUUUAAUCACUUGUAUCCAAAAUAAAAAGGAAAGAUUAGGAACAUUUUAUUAGGCCAAUUUUAUCUAGCUGUUAAUUCAAAAAUAAUAAUUCAGAGC
rnacentral:lncRNA from 1 species